rnacentral:rRNA from 1 species
ACUGCGAAUGGCUCAUUAAAUCAGUUAUCGUUUAUUUGAUAAUACCUUACUACUUGGAUAACCGUGGUAAUUCUAGAGCUAAUACAUGCUGAAAAUCCCGACUUCGGAAGGGAUGUGUUUAUUAGAUAAAAAACCAAUGCCCUUCGGGGCUUUUUGGUGAUUCAUGAUAACUUUACGGAUCGCAUAGCCUUGCGCUGGCGACGGUUCAUUCAAAUUUCUGCCCUAUCAACUUUCGAUGGUAAGGUAUUGGCUUACCAUGGUUUCAACGGGUAACGGGGAAUUAGGGUUCGAUUCCGGAGAGGGAGCCUGAGAAACGGCUACCACAUCCAAGGAAGGCAGCAGGCGCGCAAAUUACCCAAUCCCGACACGGGGAGGUAGUGACAAUAAAUACUGAUACAGGGCUCUUUUGGGUCUUGUAAUUGGAAUGAGUACAAUUUAAACCUCUUAACGAGGAACAAUUGGAGGGCAAGUCUGGUGCCAGCAGCCGCGGUAAUUCCAGCUCCAAUAGCGUAUAUUAAAGUUGUUGCAGUUAAAAAGCUCGUAGUUGAAACUUGGGUCUGGCUGGCGGGUCCGCCUCACCGCGUGCACUCGUC